rnacentral:lncRNA from 1 species
GGUCCUGCGAGGGUAGGGUUAAGUGUGGAUCUGAAGAUAAGGAGGGCCUAAAAUUGGGACAUGACUGCCUGAGGGGUGAUGGGACCAGCUUUAGGUGGCCUUGAACAAUUUACUGCAGAGACAGGGGCUGGACUUGGUCAAGUUGAAGAGUGGACUUGUGGAGGAUCUGGACUUGGAACCUGGCUAUAAUUGGAAUGCUCCAGGAGCAGGUACUAGUUGGGAAACUUGAGUUAUGAGGAAGGACCCAAGGAUGAAGGCCUGAGACGAGGGACAGUUGGAGAACCUGGAGGAAGGUCUUGGUCA